rnacentral:rRNA from 1 species
GAUGAACGCUAGCUACAGGCUUAACACAUGCAAGUCGAGGGACCGGCGCACGGGUGAGUAACACGUAUCCAACCUACCCUUUACUCGGGGAUAGCCUUUCGAAAGAAAGAUUAAUACCCGAUGGAAAGGAUGGGGAUGCGUUCCAUUAGGUUGUUGGUGAGGUAACGGCUCACCAAGCCUUCGAGGUAUAGGGGUUCUGAGAGGAAGGUCCCCCACAUUGGAACUCAGACACGGUCCCAACUCCUACGAGAGGCAGCAGUGAGUACUAUUGGUCAAUGGGCGUUAGACUGAACCAGCCAAGUAGCGUGAAGGAUGAAGGCUUAUGGGUCGUAAACUUCUUGUAUAUAAGAAUAUGUAUUAUAGGAAUAAGGAUCGGCUAACUCCGUGCCAGCAGCCGCGGUAAUU